ACCAAGGUACCAGACUGAGGGACAUUUCCCUGGCCCUAUCCCACUGCGAGCGAGAAGCAAGGGGUUUCCUUUGUAAGCAGGGAGCAUUUGCGUGCAUUUUCAUGAUACCACUCAACAUGAUAUUUUGAGACAGUGAAACCAGGUGCCCAGAGUGUCCCAGUAGAAGUUGGCAAAUGAACUGGACUCUGAAAAGAUUUUGACCAGCAGACAAGAGUGGAGGAAGUCCUGAAGAACAGGGUGGUAGAGGCUGACAGGGACGUGCCGUGUGGAAAUCCAGCCAAGCCUUCCCGGCAGAGUCAGGAAACAUACACAGCUGCAUGCCAGACCUAUCGAGUCGUCCUGACAUCAGCACCUUCUGGAAACUGGCAGGGAUCUUCUCAGAUGUGCUUUCAUAUCAGCUACAGUCUGUGAUUACUAUUCCAGGUAAUCAAUUCCAACUGGACUCAGACACCAGAAACUCCUCGCUCCUGCAGGUUUCCAAGCAUUGAAUAAGAGAGAGCCUCAAAAUGUCUUGGAUAUGACAUUUCCUCAGCCCCUUAUCCCCGCCAUGAGUGUUAAGGAUGGGCAGUACCAGGCUCCAGGGGACUUAAGAAAAAUCGGCAGCAGCAGAGACUGCACUCGUAUACAAUUCAUAAGCUCUUCAAGCCAAUUCCCGAGGAACCGUCACUCACAUCACAAUGUAAAGAGAGAAUUGUAAAACUUAAGAGGUGGGCCUGAUUCUCAAGUUCCCAAUAUGCUACGGGAUUUGAUCUCCAAAUGAAAGAGCUGAGAUCUGGGGGAAUCGGUAGAGCCAGCGUCAUGAAGCAUUUGCGAUCUCUACAACAGAGUCAUGCGUGUCUGGGCCGUGUUUGACUUUUCACUGCUAUGACACUCAGUCUUUUUGAUAAAUGUGCCCAAGGACACCACCCCAAAGAACUUGUUUCUCAUGGACCCACCAGAGGAUAAAAUGUUCUCAAUGCCACCUCCUAAGAUAAUCACCCUGUCCCAAAUGCCCCUUUUAAUUGGUUGACUGUCCCCUGGGUGUGACUGCACCCAGGAAGUUUAUCUAGGGUGUGUAAUCAAGAUACAACAGUCUUUCUGACUUGUGAGAAUCCUGAAAAAAAAACAAUGGUGUAAAAAGUAGAUUGAACAAUGU